AACGAACGCUGGCGGCAUGCCUAACACAUGCAAGUCGAACGAGACCUUCGGGUCUAGUGGCGCACGGGUGCGUACCGCGGGGGAACCUGCCCUUAGGUUCGGAAUAACUCCCCGAAAGGGGUGCUAAUACCGGAUAAUGUCUUCGGACCAAAGAUUUAUCGCCUUUGGGUGGGCCCGCGUUGGAUUAGCUAGUUGGUAGGGUAAAAGCCUACCAAGGCGACGAUCCUUAGCUGGUCUGAGAGGAUGAUCAGCCACACUGGGACUGAGACACGGCCCAGACUCGUACGGGAGGCAGCAGUGGGGAAUAUUGGACAAUGGGCGAAAGCCUGAUCCAGCAAUGCCGCGUGAGUGAUGAAGGCCGUAGGGUUGUAAAGCUCUUUUACCCGGGAUGAUAAUGACAGUACCGGGAGAAUAAGCUCCGGCUAACUCCGUG
rnacentral:rRNA from 1 species